rnacentral:rRNA from 1 species
GGAGGAAGGUGGGGAUGACUUCAAGUCAUCAUGGCCCUUACGGCCAGGGCUACACACGUACUACAAUGGUAGGGACAGAGGGCUGCAAGCCGGCGACGGUAAGCCAAUCCCAGAAACCCUAUCUCAGUCCGGAUUGGAGUCUGCAACUCGACUCCAUGAAGUCGGAAUCGCUAGUAAUCGCAGAUCAGAAUGCUGCGGUGAAUACGUUC